AAUUGAUGGAGCUUGCUCCCUGAUAUUAGCGGCGACGGGUGAGUAACACGUGGGUAACCUGCCUGUAAGAUUGGGAUAACUCCGGGAAACCGGAGCUAAUACCGGAUAAUAUGUGAACCGCAUGGUUCAACAUUGAAAGAUGGUUUCGGCUAUCACUUACAGAUGGACCCGCGGCGCAUUAGCUAGUUGGUGAGGUAACGGCUCACCAAGGCAACGAUGCGUAGCCGACCUGAGAGGGUGAUCGGCCACACUGGGACUGAGACACGGCCCAGACUCUACGGGAGGCAGCAGUAGGGAAUCUUCCGCAAUGGACGAAAGUCUGACGGAGCAACGCCGCGUGAACGAUGAAGGCUUCGGGUCGUAAAGUUCUGUUGUUAGGGAAGAACAAGUACCAGAGUAACUGCUGUACCUUGACGGUACCUAACCAGAAAGCCACGGCUAACUACGUGCCAGCAGCCGCGGUAAUACGUAGGUGGCAAGCGUUGUCCGGAAUUAUUGGGCGUAAAGCGCGCGCAGGUGGUUUCUUAAGUCUGAUGUGAAAGCCCACGGCUCAACCGUGGAGGGUCAUUGGAAACUGGGGAACUUGAGUGCAGAAGAGGAAAGUGGAAUUCCAAGUGUAGCGGUGAAAUGCGUAGAGAUUUGGAGGAACACCAGUGGCGAAGGCDACUUUCUGGUCUGUAACUGACACUGAGGCGCGAAAGCGUGGGGAGCGAACAGAUUAGAUACCCUGGUAGUCC
rnacentral:rRNA from 1 species